AAGAUUAUUGUGUGCUGGUUCUACAGUUUUUGAGCCUAUCACUCCAGAAGAGAGUCAUCUGUGCACUGAAUGCGGAUUAUAAGGAUGCAUAAUAGGGGUGAGCUAUGAAGCUUAGUAUUAAAG